CUUGACCUCCAUGUUGUGAGUUCAAGCCCCAUGUUGGGUGUGUAGCCUACAGAAAAAAAAAAAAAAAGGGAGGUUCUAUUCUUUUCUGCCUCCUGCUGGUUGUAAGUAGAAAGGAAGUUUGGGUUAUGGUUAUGUGAAAAAAGUCAUAGAUUUGUUACAUUUAUUGAUUUCUGAUGAUUAUAGGAUCAUUUUUCAUUUUCCCAAUAACGUGUACAGUGAAGGAUCUUCAACUGUGACCCAUGCAUGAUGGGGAGGGCUGGGGAAGGCCACAUAUUCCUUGAAAUUAUAAAUUAUAGAAUUUUGGUAUGUGUGCCUUUUGCAUUGUUGGGUGUUAGGAGAGUCCAUAAUUUUUGUUAGCUUCUCCAGGAGACCCACAAUCUACAAAAAAGUUAAAAGAGCCUAACUGGAAUGUUCUACAUAAUUACUUUCUCGUUGUGAAAUUUCAGUUCAUUCAUAUUAAUUGUCGCGAGUACUACUACCUUCUUUCCGCUAGGUGGUGCUGCUACAUGCAUUUUCAAACACCAAUCACAAGGUUCAUUGAUUUAUGGAGUGAAAAAGCGCCCAGGUUUAAAUGGCAAGUCCUCAAGUUCAUUUUAGGUUGGAAGGAAUUUUUGAAAUCAAGUAGUACAGUCGCAUUGUUUUACAGAUAGACCGCCAGAUGCCCAAAAGGUGAAGGAAGAGCUCUGACGGAGACCAGACCUUUUGAAAAGUCGAAAGGAUGCGCUGAGUGGAAGAACCCACAGAGCUGGAGCUCUCCUCCUACCAAACUACUUUGAAGGCUGCGCCUUUGGCCGCCCAAGGACUGGGGGUGGUACUGGUUGUGGACUUUAGAUUUUUUUGGUUCUGAGGCAUUUGUAUUUUUCAGUCACAGUCAUGACGGAAUUUGGUGCUUCUACCCUGCCGGAUGGUGGUAUUGCUGAGAAGGGAUUUUAUUCAGUUAAGGAGGGAAGUUGCACAGUCUUCCUCUACCCCAUUCCCUGGUUGGCUUUAGACAUCUUAUAAUUACGUGCAUUGCAUUCUUUCCAGAGCCAACGGUGACCCUAUAAAUGUAUGUAUAAGCAGUAUUGGUGACACAUGAGGGACAUGCUAGGUUGAAUUGAGGGUUUUAUAGUUGAUGGUUUUUAGGCAUUUACAUAGUAAUUGAACACUGACAUUUUUAUUGUGUAUGUACAUGUGUUUUAAAACACUCUCUUAAGAAUCCAUUAUUUACUGCUAGUCAUAGCUUCUGUGAUAAACACCACGGUCAGUUACUCAGGCAUCCCAUUGGGAAGGAAGGACUUACUCCUCCAGUACUGGGUGGGCUGCCAACAGAAGUCCUCAGAUGUCAGACCCUCACAGAGGUUGCUCCACUUGAAGAGAACUGCCUUGCCCGAGUUGUGUCCCCUUCCCUAGAGUGGCCCAUCUCCAGGGACUGAUUGGCCUUUGGGGUGUUAAGACUCAACUCUGAAGAGUCAUCCCAGCCUCAAGACUUCCUCUGGGAAGGUCAGAGACCACCAGUGAGACUGUAUGGAGGCUUAUCUUCUCCUUGGGGCCAACUCUGAUCCUUGCUUCCCCCUUUCAGGUGUCUCUCACUAGAACACUCCUGCGUGUCAUUCUCCUCAGGGUCGGCCCCAACCUGUGACAUUUGGUUUCAGAAGUAACCCCAAAAUGCAGAUGCUGGGAUUAGAAUUUGGAUCUGGAUUAUGCACGAACUGCUUGACAGGAUUCCUAUCGGCAGUGGAUCCUAGCAAGAUACAGAGACCAGUACUCCCGGCAAGCCGGUGGUUAAGAGGGAGUGAGUGACAUGAUUUCUCAAGCUUGUGUCAGAGGUUCACACUUGAACAAAGCUUAGGGAUUUGAAUGCAGAGGUAAUAUGGUGCUACCAAGCAGGGCAGGGUCCAAGCCAGAGUACAUUCACGUGGUCUUGGGCAAGGUCCAGAGGAAGAGGAACUAGAAGAUUCCCUGACUUCCCCAUCAGGACCCUUUACCUCCCUACGCUUCUGGCAACCUCAGUUCCUUGUUUCUGUGAAUUUGAAUAUUUAGGUACCUCAGCUCCUGUCUAAGUAACUGCCGACUGUCUCACUCUGCCGGAAUCCUCAAUGGUAGCCACUGAGUGGAUCCUCCAAGGUUACCAGAAAAGGAAGUUGUGCAUGUGGGGCAAGCAGUGACCAGACGUCUGCUCCUACGAUGUACAGUAGUUCCAGAUCUGUGGCCCUUCCCUCCUCCUGAUUUUCUUGCUUAGCUGCACUUCUUAUCCGAAUCCUAGUUAUCCCUCAUGGCUGGGCAGAUCUUUCCCACCCAGCUGUGGCAUUGGACCUCUUAGUAGCUCACUCCUGGAAACAUGCAUUGUAUAAGGUCCCAACACCUGACAGAUAACAAAGAUCAAAUCAAAUCGGAUCAGAUCAAAUGGAAUCCAGUGGUGUUUGUCGAGCUCUUUGAAUGGAGUGGUAUGCAGCAGCGCCUCCCAAAUGGUGCCCAGGGGAAAUCAGCAAGGAAGAGAUGAACAUCCAGAAUGACUCCCAUAAACAGGAGAGAAUGCCAGGCUGCUGCCUGCCCUGUUUCAAUGUGUGGCGUUUGGCAAUGGACUAUGACAGCUUCCCUCUUGCCGCUAACUCGGUGUCACAUGAGCACGCCGAAGGUGACUUGAGAUUUGGAGAAUUGAGGGGAAGGCCAUGAGAAUCUCAAAGCUGUGUCCUUUAGUCUCCUCGUCCUGGAAGAAGCUAUGAUGUCACGUUGAUCAGUUUGCGGUGAAUCCCUUCUAUUUGCCCUCAGUAAUCAUUUAUGCUGACCCUCCCUCCUGGUUGAUUCUCCAGAGAAGCAGACCCAACUCCCUAACAACUUGGCCUCAUUUUAAAUUCUGCUCUAGUCUUUCAGAUGACCUCUAAAAAUCCUAGAAAAUGCUGGGGGGAAAAGAGGUCAAGGACAUUGGGCUAGAGAUUUAUGUUUACAACAAGUUAAAAGAAACAAAAGCAUUACAUUUUAUCAUACACCCCUUGGCGUGCAUCUAUCUUUUGGAUGUGACAUGAGAUAAUUAAUGUGUAAAUGCCAAUUAGAGUGCUUGGCACAGAGCAACCAGUUAAUAGCUGUUGGUUUUUAUCUGUCUGUCUUUAAUUAAUAACCUAGACCAGCAAAGAUGGUUUAGAAAAAUAUUAGGUAACUCAGUUUCAGCAAUUAUGAUGAUAUAAUGAGUUAUGCUGACCUAAUGUCCUUGUUCAUUUGGUGGUUCAGCUAGUAUAGCCAAAAUAUGCUUGUGAGAUGACUCUAAACCAAUGAUAAUGCCUCAAAUGACUCCCGUGGUCAAGCCGCAUGGAUGGAAGCAUCGUUUAUAGUUAUUACCCUACCUUGGAUUCAGUUGUCCUACAAGAGGUCACAUGAUCUUAAUGUUACUGCCAGGAUACAUCUCCAUGAACUACAGAGCAAUUAGCAAAUUUGCAGCUUCUCAAAGAUAUCUGCUCAGUUUCAUUGCUAGUGUGAUUGCUACUGCUUCCCUGGACUGAUUGGUGACCAGUGCAGCCUCUCACCCCCUUCUGAAAUCCAAGAAAUAGCUUAUGAUAGCCUUCCAACUUGUCAUAAUACAAUGUGUGCCCUAUAGUGCAUUCUGGGGGUAUCUUCAGGGAGAGGGCUGUAGAGGCAUUGACCCAGUUAAUACUUGUUUAGUGCUUGGGGGUUACAGGUUACUUCUCAUAUUCUGCCUCAUUUUAUUUUAUUUUAUUUUUUAAAAAAGAUUUUAGUUAUUUAUUCACAAGAGACACAGAGAGAGGCAGAGACAUAGGCAGAGGGAGGAGAAGCAGGCUCCCCGUGGGGAGCCCGAUGUGGGACUUGAUUCUGGGACUCCAGGAUCGUGCCCUGAGCUGAAGGCAGACACUUAACCACUGAGCAACCCAGGCAUCCCAGCUGCCUCAUUUUUAUCCUUACAUUAAAUCUAUGAGGUAGACCUAGCAAGCGUGUUUAUUUCUCUUUUGUCCAUCAAGUUGGACAAUAUUGUUUGAGGAUGUUUUUUUCCUUUCAAAUGAAAGGUAUAUGACCAGCUCUUAAGUGAAUUGAUUGAGUGGCUAGUUCUAAGAGAAAUGGCUGCUUCGCCCUUUUAUUUUUUUAAAGAUUUAUUCAUUUAGUUUAUAGAGAGAGAGCUGGGAGAGGGGCAGAGGGAGAGAAUCCCCAAGCAGGUCCCCCCAACCCCUGCAAUCAUGGACCCCAACGUGCUCCUCCAUCCUACAAUCCAUGAGACCACGACCUGAGCUGAAACUAAGAGUCAGAAGCUGAACUGACUGAACCAUCAAGGUGCCCCUUAAAGAUUUUGUUUUUAACUACUCUCUAUAUCCAACAUGGGCUCAAAUGUAUAACUCCGAAAUCAAGAGUCACAUACUCCACCUACUGAGCCAGUCAGUCAUCCUGUAAGUUUCAAGCUUUUAAACACUUAACUCUUUAGAUAGCACUUUGGGAGGUACAGUUGGGUGUGGUUGGUUGGGAUGUUCUAAUGGCAUGAACCCUUUAUGCAUUGAUACUUUGUGCUUUGAACUCGUUUUUUUCCAACAAGCUGGUUCUAUUGCUCCCACGGAAUGAUGCAACUUCUUCAUGAAUAUCACACUGAACACAACUUUAGUGCAACUGUGGUAUUAUUGCAAUCUUAAAACAGGUGUGGUCUUUUUUGAUUAACAACUCUGGUGAAGGAUCUUGUGAAAAAUGAAUGCAGGAUUACUUGUUAACUAUUUAUUAUUUUUAAAGAUUGUAUUUAUUUAUUUUAGAGAGAGACAGAGCUCACAAGCUGGGGAGAGAGGCAGAGCAGGAGGGAGAGGGACG